CAGAAGGAGCCAACAGAGUGAGAUGAAGGGGACAACUUCAGAUACUCAGGCAGAAGCAUAAGUCCCCACCUGCUGACCUGCUGCCUGCUAUCUUAACACGAAUUCUUCAUCUGAAUGGAUGAGCUUUUCACAGUGUCUAUGUGAAUUCACGCCAAGUCAUGUGACAGUUUGCAUAAUGAAGUGUCAGCAGAUGUGAUGGAAACAGAAGUAAAUAAAAUAUUUGCACGUUGCUGCUUGCUCCCUUUUACCUCAGCCUUUACCAGGGAGAACAAACCCAGCUAACCUGCUAGAGGAUGACAGACACGUCAACCAGAGCUGGUGUCCCAGUCACCCAAGCCAAGGCCAUUCUACCUAAGCCCACAGCUAAUUCACCUCCAGAAAUGUGAGCAAGCCUAGCCAAGAUCAGCCAAGCCAAGCUCAGAGAGACAAUUUAGCACAAACUAUCAAAAGCUUUAAAAGAUGUCUUUAUCUAUAGUUAGAAUUACACAUUUAAGAAUCUACCUUAUUGGGAAAAAUACAGUCAAAGAUUUUAUAGAAA
rnacentral:lncRNA from 10 species